rfam:Oryzias latipes DNA, scaffold4154, strain: Hd-rR.
CAGAUGACCUUAACAUAGGCACUGACUUGAAUUUCUUUGCAGUAAGUGCUACAUGUUGGGGUAGUCUUG